GCGUGGGAGCCGGGCCUCCGUCAUUGCGGCGGGAGCGUUAAUUAGUUAGAGUGAGGGGGUGAUUAGUCAUCAGAGAGGGUGGAGGCUGUUCCAAAGGGGUUGUGUGAGGGCUCUUGGAGGGGUGAGGCUGUGCGUGGCCGUUCUCAUUCUUGGGAAGCGGGGCGCAGCUCUUGCCCGUGUGCGGGGAUCUGUCAGGAAUACAACUCAGUCUCGGAGCUCCCGCACCAUGCAGAGAGUGUCACGGCUGACAAGGGAGCUCUCGCUCCUGGCUACAGAGCCACCUCCAGGAAUCACCUGCUGGCAGAACGGGCAGCUCGAUGACCUGCGGGCACAAAUUUUAGGAGGUGUGGACACACCGUAUGAUAAAGGAAUAUUCAACCUGGAAAUCAUAGUUCCUGAAAGGUACCCAUUUGAGCCACCAAAGAUUCGCUUUCUGACCCCCAUCUACCAUCCCAACAUUGACUCUGCUGGAAGGAUUUGUCUGGAUGUUCUUAAGUUACCCCCAAAGGGUGCAUGGAGGCCUUCCCUGAACAUCUCCACCUUACUGACCUCCAUCCAGCUGCUGAUGGCAGAGCCCAACCCUGAUGACCCUCUCAUGGCCGACAUUUCCUCAGAGUACAAGUAUAACAAGCAGCUGUUCCUGCUUAAUGCCAGGGAGUGGACCAAGAAAUACGCAGGGCAGCUGAGGUUAAGUGGGCUCAUUUACUAAUAACUGCCAUGCUGCUCAAGGAUGAGGAGCGACAGAUGGAUAAACCCUUCCCUUGGAUCCUGCAGCCUUGUCCUCCCUCAGCUCUCUUCCCUGUCCUCCUGUGCCUGAUGCUCACCUGUGCCUGUUCUCCACCUGCUCAUCCAUUCACUGACUUGUCUCCCUAUUCCCUGGUGGAGUUCUGCCUUCUUCCCAUCAUGCUUCCUCUCCUACCUCCUUUCCUCUCUGUCACCACAGCAGCUUACAGACCUUUGGAAGAGAAAAUCAUCCAAAGUGAAACAAGCACCAGCAGUGAAUCGACCACGCAGAAAAGAAAAGGGGUUA